GAUGAAGAACGCAGCGAAACGCGAUAUGUAAUGUGAAUUGCAGAAUUCAGUGAAUCAUCGAAUCUUUGAACGCACAUUGCGCCCGCGAGUAUUCUCGCGGGCAUGCCUGUCCGAGCGUCAUUUCAACCCUCAGGGCCCGCCUGCUUCGGCAGGCGCGGCGCUGGUGUUGGGGAUCGGCCUAACCGCCGUCCCCCAAAUACAGUGGCGGUCUCGCUGCAGCCUCCCCUGCGUAGUAGCAACACUCGCAUGCGGAGCGCGGCGCGGCCACGCCGUAAAACCCCCGACUUUCUGAACGUUGACCUCGGAUCAGGUAGGAAUACCCGCUGAACUUAAGCAUAUCAAUAAGCGGAGGA
rnacentral:misc_RNA from 1 species